AGUUAACAUCAACCAGACCUUGGAGGAGCUCCUAACCAAGGAGUUAACAUCAACCAGACCUUGGAGGAGCUCCUAACCAAGGUGUUAACAUCAACCAGACCUUAGAGGAGCUCCUAACCAAGGUGUUAACAUCAAUCACACCUUAGAGGAGCGCCUAACCAAGGUGCGGACAGAACAGGACAGCAGCCUUGCAACACAGCUGAAAGAGGUUCAGCAAGAGAGAGACGGACUCAAGAGAGAGCUGGAUGAUCUAACAAAGGAGGUGAGAGAGCUCCAAAAAGACAGGCAGAACAGUAAUAACAACCUGACCUCACUAAGAGAGGAGCUGCAGGAGAGAAAGAGAACAGAGGACAGGCUGCAGGAGAGAAAGAGAACAGAGGACAGGCUGCAGGAG
rnacentral:lncRNA from 1 species